CAGCAGCAGCCACGGGAAUACGGAGGGUGCAAGCGUUAAUCGGAAUUACUGGGCGUAAAGCGCACGCAGGCGGUCUGACAAGUCAGAUGUGAAAUCCCCGGGCUUAACCUGGGAACUGCAUUUGAAACUGUCAGGCUGGAGUCUUGUAGAGGGGGGUGGAAUUCCAGGUGUAGCGGUGAAAUGCGUAGAGAUCUGGAGGAAUACCGGUGGCGAAGGCGGCCCCCUGGACAAAGACUGACGCUCAGGUGCGAAAGCGUGGGGAGCAAACAGGAUUAGAUACCCCAGUAGUCCCUGUCUCUUAUAC
rnacentral:rRNA from 1 species